UUUGCACUGUUUUUCCAGUCAGAGGGCUAUGCAGUUUUCUUGGUUAUAAACUGAUUUGCAUAAGCAGCAGUUCACCUGAGCAGGCAUGUGGGUCAUCCUGUCUCUUAACCAGGCAUGAGCUACAUUGUUCCUGUCUCUUAACCAGGCAUGAGAUACAUUGUUCCUGUCUCUUAACCAGGCAUGAGAUACAUUGUUCCUGUCUCUUAACCAGGUAUGAGAUACAUUGUUUCUGUUUCUUGACCAGGUAUGAGAUACAUUGUUCCUGUCUCUUAACCAGGCAUGAGAUACAUUGUUACUAUUUCUUAACCAGGCAUGAGAUACAUUGUUCCUGUUUCUUGACCAGGAUUAAUUUGUUCUGGCUGUGGAACUGGGGAAACACGUUAUCAGGAGCAGCUCUGCUGGAGAUGAAUUUCAUCCAUUCUAAACUGAUAUUUCUAGUUUCUGAGUGCGCUCAUGCCCAGGAUGCUGGAGAGGUGCAGCCUCUGUGGGAAUCCUGUCAUUUUCUGUACUUUUCAAUAGCUAACAUGAUUCAUCAUGGUGCUAUUACACGUUCUGAAUUAUCCCUCUUCUUUAAAGCUAUGUGUGAAUAAGGAAAUCUGUUUCCCUUUGUGUUGAAUUUAAAAUAGAGAUGUGUUAUGGAUUAUCUGUAGCGUCCUAGCUUCCAGUAUUCAAUGUCUUAUUGACAGACUUAUUAAGUCAAGGCAGGUGACAACUGAAACACAAGAUUUUUUUUUGCUGAGAUGCCCAAGAAACACAAAAACAAGAAUAACUGACUUAAUUUAAGAUGGACAAAAGACAUAUGCUGACGCCUACAGACACUGUCUACGGUGUAGCUGUUAACAGGAUGAACCGAGAGGCAUGGCCUUGCAAGUCCAUUCCACAUACCCUUACCCUCCCAAACCAGAGAAGCCCAA
rnacentral:lncRNA from 1 species